CACACUUUUAGACUCUCUCUCACACACCUUCUCGCAAAACAUAGACUCUCUCUUACACGCUCUCUUCCUCUGUUGCCUACCACUGCACCUCUUCCUCCUCUUCCUUUUCGUCUCUUUCCAUCAGUCUCAGCGCCACAGACACCGCCAUCACCUUCCCUCAUUCUAUCGCCGUUGCCUUCCAUCCUUCCUUUGGGCCUUGGCAGGUAAUGCUCAAACAAGCCGAUGGUUCUUAUGCUUGCGUAGCAGAGAGUGCAACACCCUUUACUCUGGGUGAAACAAAAGAAGAACUUUUGAGGGUCCUGGGACUGCAAGAGGAACAAGGAAGCUCACUGCAAUUUCUUCGUAGAGGUUACAGGAAUGCUACUUAGGGGGAAGAAGAUGUGGAGUGGGAAGAAUCUUCUGCUCGGCGUAAUUGAGCAGCUCAGGGAAAUGAAUGCCGGUGUACCAACAGAUCACGGACACGUAGUUAAGCUGGAUCAUUCUCAGAUGUAAUCAAGGCAUGGGCAAGUGUAAUCCAUUGUAAUCUAUUAUUUUUGGUUGAAUUGAUUCACCCACAUAGGUAAUCUAGUUUUGGUGUAUAAAAAAUGUAACUAGUAAAAUUAAUUCUUUAUCCCAAAUGUUAUUUGUUAUUUUUGAAUUGGAUUCAUCCUCCAACUGCAAUGUAAUGACCACCCAUUCCCAAUUUUACGGUUUCUAUAAUUUUAAUAAGUGAAUUUAUGAAAAUGCCCUUCGAGGCAAAUGCGUUGACUUUG